CCUUUCUAAGGAUGAUCAAGAAUAGGGCUUGUUAAAAAUCCCUCCCUUUUUGAUCUGAUUAGACACUGGUUUAAACUUAUCCGUUUAAACCGUGCAUAUGACACUAAUGCUCAACUCUAUACCCUCUCUCAAAAGAGAACCCUCUUAACAAAGAGGCCCAAUCUCUUGAGGCCCCUACCUCCGAUGAGAAGGUGUUCAUGAGGGCUUAGUGCUCAUGUGUAAAAAUAUCAUGCAGGCUUGCCGCCUUCGUUUCUCUUUCUUCAGAUGAUGAUCCCAAGCCUUCUGGCGAUCUCUUAAAAACAAAUCCUCAUGCUCUUUUAUUUAAGAACUUGCUCUUUUGUUUGAGAGUUACUUUUUAAUUAAGAGUUUACUUUUUUAAUUAAGAGUUUUCCGGGGAAGGUUUUCCGGUUUAUCCCGGAGGGCUUGUAGCUCAGUUGGUUAGAGCGCGCGCUUGAUAAGCGUGAGGUCGGAGGUUCAAGUCCUCCCAGGCCCACCAAUUUAGAAUUACGAAUUGCUUAGCCCACUGUUGAGAAACGCCCUCCUUUAUGAGAAGAAGUUCUAAAAGCGUGAGAAAGCUCUUGAGAGCUUCAAAUGAUAGACUCUGAAACUCUCGGUAAACUUUAAAAGUGUUCGUAAAAUGUCCAUGAUAUAUUUUAUGAUUUUAUAAAAAAUAUUGAGAGAUUUGCUUUCCUAUCAAGGGAAUUGAUAAAUAUCGGUUUGAGGGUUAGCGCUUUCAUUUAGGGGCCGUAGCUCAGCUGGGAGAGCACCUGCUUUGCAAGCAGGGGGUCGUCGGUUCGAUCCCGUCCGGCUCCACCAUUUUAGGUCAUCAUCAUUGUUGUGAGAACCGUCUUUAGUGAGAGGUUGUAUAAUCUUUCGCUCGUUCUAUUGAAAUUGUGAAGAGAAGAUAUAUUCAGACAUGUUCCUUUUUUAAGGUUCCUUCUGAGGCACAAGUUUUUUGUUAAGGAAAAUGCUUUCUUGGGAAAAUGCUUGUUGUCAAAAAGGUUUUGAAAACAGAUCUUUAAAAAAGAUCUUGAAAGAAAAGCCUUUCUCUGAAGAGGAAAUCUUAAUUUAGAAAAAGAAACAUUGUGUCGCAAGGGAAUGCUCAAAGCCCUUGCAUAUGAUUGGAAGCUUAACCGCGCCAUUGAAUAUAUCUCGAGAAGCUGGUCUUUUCUGCUGAUAUUUUGUUUGUUUUUCCCUUUUUGUUUUGCACAAAGCAAAAAAGGAGACAAACGCUGAAUGAAUAUUGGCAAUGAGAACG
rnacentral:tRNA from 1 species